GAGUAGUUCCAGAGGAACUCAGGUCUUUGCUGUUUGGGUUAGGAAACAAGAAAAACAGCCCCCGCUUCUGGUUUACGCAGUGGCGAAAUGAAGCGUGCUUUGUAGGGGUAAAAUUCCACUUUGCAUUGACCUUCUGCACUGUUCCUCUCUCAAAAGCAGUCUCCAGGGGAGAAUCAGGGCUCACAGAGCAAACAGGCACUGUGUUGACCCUGCUGACUUCCACCAUUGAUGUCCUUCCAUUGGGUGCUUCAGAGGUGUCUUCCAGGGUCUGCAUCCGUUCCAUGAGAGGCCAGCACUAUUAAUAUUCCUGAUCAUAAACUCCAGAGAACCACAAGCAAAGCUCCCGCACUCUCAGAAUAGCUCCAGUGCUAAAUAUAGGGGAUUUUUAUGAAUCUAUUUGCCACUUCCAUUAGUCAGGGCAGAAAUACAUUAUUCUAAGAUGUCUAAGCAUUUUGUCAUUGCUCACUGGCUGUUUCAAAACAUCGUCUAAGCAGUUAUCACUGUAUUUCUGGUUGAUAUUAUAACAACCACUGGCUAAUCACAGAGUCAGCAGUGAAAA